rnacentral:rRNA from 1 species
UACAGAGGCCUCGAGCGUUAGGCGGAAUCACUGGGCUUAAAGCGUGUGUAGGCGGACUUCUAAGUACCUUGUGAAAUCCCACGGCUUAACCGUGGAACUGCUUGGUAUACUGGUCGUCUUGAGCCAUCUAGGGGCUGUCGGAACAAAUGGUGGAGCGGUGAAAUGCGUAGAUAUCAUUUGGAACGCCAAAGGUGAAAACAGACAGCUGGGGAUGUGCUGACGCUGAGACACGAAAGCCAGGGGAGCGAACGGG